AAGAGUAGAAAUUUUGUUCCUGAUCACUCUUUGAUAUGGUUUGUUUGCAGAGCUUCUUAUUGUUGACUUCAUACCCGAUAUCAAUAUUGAAACUGCUAAAUCUCUACUCAAAUAACACAAGCUGCAGUUCUCAAAGCAUAAGGUAUCCAAUACUUUUCCUCCUCAAUUCGGUCUUGUCAAUAGAUUCUGGAGAUACAUUCUAGACCGCGAGGGUUCUUCAAAAGACACCG